AUUGAACGCUGGCGGCAUGCCUUACACAUGCAAGUCGAACGGUAACAGGUCUUCGGAUGCUGACGAGUGGCGAACGGGUGAGUAAUACAUCGGAACGUGCCCGAUCGUGGGGGAUAACGGAGCGAAAGCUUUGCUAAUACCGCAUAAGAUCUUAGGAUGAAAGCAGGGGACCGCAAGGCCUUGCGCGAACGGAGCGGCCGAUGGCAGAUUAGGUAGUUGGUGGGAUAAAAGCUUACCAAGCCGACGAUCUGUAGCUGGUCUGAGAGGACGACCAGCCACACUGGGACUGAGACACGGCCCAGACUCCUACGGGAGGCAGCAGUGGGGAAUUUUGGACAAUGGGCGCAAGCCUGAUCCAGCCAUGCCGCGUGCAGGAUGAAGGCCUUCGGGUUGUAAACUGCUUUUGUACGGAACGAAAAGACUCUUUCUAAUAAAGAGAGUCCAUGACGGUACCGUAAGAAUAAGCACCGGCUAACUACGUGCCAGCCGCCGCAGUAAGAC
rnacentral:rRNA from 1 species